AUUCAAAGUAAUUAAUUUAAUAUUCUUGAUGGAAGCUUUUUAAAAGACCAGUAUAGCAUUUCAGUAAGACGACAAUUAAAUAAUUUCACUAAGCAAACAAAUAAACAAAAUACCAAUAUUAUACAUCAAUAUAUACCAUAAACAUCUAAGGGAUACAAUACCAAAGUACGUCUGCAUACUGAUUGCAAAAUUUGACAGAAUGUCCAAAACAUGUACAGACGCAUGACAAUUAAUAUGUUGAAUAAAAUAAUGAAAUCGACCCAUAAUAAUCUUUUUUUUUUGGUAUCAUUUUUAAACACAUUUAUUUUUUCAGGUAAAAUUGACUUACUAAAUAGUCUAUAUUUCAUUUUGUGCAAUGCAUGUUUGUGCAUGAGAACAAAACAAAUAGCAAAAACAAAACAAAACAUUGAAAGAUCAGUUACUUCAAUCAAUCAACCACAUUGCUAUAGGUCUAGGGAAUAAUUUUGAGCACAGAAUAUAUAGUUCUAAAUGAUACGCAGAUUGAAAGCACAGAAAACUGUUAAGUUUAUUUUGUAGAAAAAAAAUACCAUAAAUAAGGAUGACCUAUUUACAAGUACACACACAACAAUAACAAAUAGGGUUUUGCAUUGGGCAUACACAUAGCAAUGAUGAAAUGAAUACAAAUUGACAAUUCUAUAAAUGUUUAUAAAUGCAUGUGUUAGAGUCAAUGCGUUCAAUACGUUGUGGCAAGACAAUAAACAAAAUCAUUGACAACAAUGACGUCAAGUCCUUCAAUGGAAUGGAUUUCUGAUUAGCGAUUAUUUAAGUAAACCUAGUGUCUAGUAUGUGCCUAGUGAGAGACUAGAGAGUGCCUAGUGAGUGUCUAGUGAAUGUUUAGUGAGUGUCUAGUGAAUGUUCAGAAAGUGUCUAGUGAGUGUCUAGUAUG